UACAGAGGUGGCAAGCGUUGUUCGGAAUUACUGGGCGUAAAGGGCGCGUAGGCGGUUCGUUAAGUCCUGUGUGAAAUCCCCCGGCUCAACUGGGGAACUGCACAGGAAACUAGCGGGCUUGAGUUCGGGAGAGGGAAGCGGAAUUCCGGGUGUAGCGGUGAAAUGCGUAGAUAUCUGGAGGAACACCGGUGGCGAAGGCGGCAUCCUGGACCGACACUGACACUGAGGAGCGAAAGCCAGGGGAGCAAACGGG
rnacentral:rRNA from 1 species